UACGUAGGGCGCAAGCGUUGUCCGGAAUUAUUGGGCGUAAAGAGCUCGUAGGCGGCCUGUUGUGUCCGCUGUGAAAUCCCGGGGCUCAACCCCGGGCCUGCAGUGGAUACGGGCUGGCUAGAGGCAGGCAGGGGAGAACGGAAUUCCUGGUGUAGCGGUGAAAUGCGCAGAUAUCAGGAGGAACACCGGUGGCGAAGGCGGUUCUCUGGGCCUGUACUGACGCUGAGGAGCGAAAGCGUGGGGAGCGAACAGG
rnacentral:rRNA from 1 species